UUAGAAAACCCGCCUUCCUUUCUUGUUUCCCCUCUUUAGAUCUGGGUGUGUUCUUUGACCACAAAAAUCUUCUCCGGUCUUCCUCCGCCUCCCUACAUCGAGUGUUGCUUGAUUCUUUCCCUUGCACUCCGACCGCCGCCUCCGAUUCUUCCUCGUUCGUUGACAUCGAUCAAGGCUCAUUUACUUCUACCCACUGGAACCACCAUAUCUCCCACUCGAUGUUGAAAUUGUCAGAAAAAGCCCUAAUUCAGUAUUAUACUCUCAAGUCUUAAUAUUAAUGCAAAUCUUGAUUAUCGUUUGUUUUUUAUUCCCUACAGAUAAAUCGAAAAAGGGGAAUUAGAAUGACGAAGGUAGCGGGAGUUUUGGUCCGGUGGUCGUGGCUCAUCUAUCGAGUAAGGAAGAUGGGAACGCAAGUAGCCAUGGUGGCUCGAUGAUGACAAUCAAUCGAGAAAGGGGAAGCACCUCUGGUGCGGGACCGAUUUGACGAAAGGAGAACGGAGAAGCGCGUCAAUGAGUCCCAAAGCAUAAAAUCAAGACUAGGGCUUUUUUCAAAGAUCUAUCUCCAUUUCUCUCUCUCUCUCUCUCUCUCUCUCUCAGGUUCCAGAUAGUGGCUUUAGGGAAGGAAGAAGACAGUGAGGGUGGCUUAGAAGAAGGAAGACACCACGAUGGUUAUAGGUAAAACUAGGGCUUUUUUGAUCGGAGACCUUACAACCCAGUUGCUUCACUCUCGAUUGCAGCGUCGUUCGGCAACUAAGACUCCUCCAUCGUACUGGUUCUGCGACUUCUCAGGCUAUGACAUCGGUUACUACACACCUGUCUAUUAAUCACUCUCAUACUCAUCACAUAAGAAUGAAAAGCUAUCUAUCACCAUCGUUACAUCAGUAUCGACUCCUCAAGCUCACUGGUCCACCUCCCCUCCAUCCUACUCCAUCUACUAAGACUCCUCAGGUUUGCAAGCCCUAGGUCUAAUUGCACUAAGGUAUGAAAAAGGAUGCUUCUACCUUGCCCUAUUUCUUCAUCCGUUCAACAAAUAAGAGGAAACGUAAUUUCUCAUUCAUCUAUCGACUUCAUCUUCUCAAUCAAGCAAAACGGAUUAUGAGUUUUUCCUGCAUCUACGAUUUCACCUGCUUACAACUAUUGGUUUAGAACUUUAGAUCCUUCAAGGAACUUGGGAAAAGAAAUGUCAUACCUAUGGGCACAUCUUCUUAAGUUAAAUGAGCACAUUUUUUUCACAUAAACAAGUUUCAUAUUUCCUUUUUUUUGUUUUUGUCAAAAUUUUAAAUUAUGAGUUUUUUCUUGGCAGGUUAUAUGGAAGUAACGUAUGUGGUGAAGGGGGAGCUGAAUUUCUUGCAAGUCCUUUUAACUUCUCAUCUAUACAAGAAAGUGUAAACAUAAUGUACCUCACUGAUAGAGACAAGGGAAGUGGUUGGUUCAUGGAUAGAAUAUGAUAACAUUGUCUCUCUGUUACCGUUGCUUUUAGUUUCAUUCUCUGAACAAGUUGUUGUUGUUUGGGAAGCUACCUGUCAAGUGCAGGCAACAGAUAAAUUUUAUAAGUUUUAAAUAUUUCUCAUGUGAUCUCAAGGUAAAUCUCCCUUUUUCAUUGUGCUUUUUUCAUGUUUAAUAACAGUAAGUUUGAUUUCAUGUGUAGGAUGGAGAAGCUAAUGCUUACCUGCUAAAUGUUCUUGCACCAAAACAUUGCAGCCCAACCACAUUGAAUAUCAAGGGUCUGGUAUCCUCUUUAUUUGAGUUGUUCAUCAUGGAAGUAGGUGGAUGUUGUUGAGUUGCAAUAUUUGGAUUAAAAAUAUCUGGAAUAGCUACUGAGUCAUACCCCCACCCCC